rnacentral:rRNA from 1 species
UAAGCCUGUGAAGGUGGCCUGUGAGGGUUGCUGGAGGUAUCAGAAGUGCGAAUGCUGACAUAAGUAACGAUAAAGCGGGUGAAAAGCCCGCUCGCCGGAAGACCAAGGGUUCCUGUCCAACGUUAAUCGGGGCAGGGUGAGUCGACCCCUAAGGCGAGGCCGAAAGGCGUAGUCGAUGGGAAACGGGUUAAUAUUCCCGUACUUGGUGUUACUGCGAAGGGGGGACGGAGAAGGCUAUGUUGGCCGGGCGACGGUUGUCCCGGUUUAAGCGUGUAGGUGUGUGUUCCAGGUAAAUCCGGUUCACUUUAACACUGAGGCGUGACGACGAGGCACUACGGUGCUGAAGCAACAAAUGCCCUGCUUCCAGGAAAA